AGCUCCCUGCGAUGCUCGUUUCGGCCUUAUAUUCUUUGAACCAAUAUCGUUGAGAUAUGGUUGCUGAUCCGAUGGACUCUGUGAGCGUGUUCCUUGUGAACGUGCCUAAUGAGUCCGGUGUGCGACCCCUUGAACCCCAGGUUCAAGAUGCUGGGUCAAACGGCAUAGGCGGGGAGUUU
rnacentral:other from 1 species